rnacentral:rRNA from 1 species
UAGGGAAUCUUCCGCAAUGGACGAAAGUCUGACGGAGCAACGCCGCGUGAGUGAAGAAGGUUUUCGGAUCGUAAAACUCUGUUGUCAGAGAAGAACAAGUCGGAGAGUAACUGCUCCGGCCUUGACGGUAUCUGACCAGAAAGCCACGGCUAACUACGUGCCAGCAGCCGCGGUAAUACGUAGGUGGCAAGCGUUGUCCGGAUUUAUUGGGCGUAAAGCGAGCGCAGGCGGUUCCUUAAGUCUGAUGUGAAAGCCCACGGCUUAACCGUGGAAGGUCAUUGGAAACUGGGGAACUUGAGUGCAGAAGAGGAGAGUGGAAUUCCAUGUGUAGCGGUGAAAUGCGUAGAUAUAUGGAGGAACACCAGUGGCGAAGGCGACUCUCUGGUCUGUAACUGACGCUGAGGCUCGAAAGCGUGGGGAGCAAACA